rnacentral:rRNA from 1 species
GACGAACGCUGGCGGCGUGCUUAACACAUGCAAGUCGAACGAAGUGGCGAACGGGUGAGUAACGCGUAAUCAACCUGCCCUGCAGAGGGGGACAACAGUUGGAAACGACUGCUAAUACCGCAUACUGAAGGAGGGGAGUGCGUCUGAUUAGCUAGUUGGGGGGGUAACGGCCCACCAAGGCGAUGAUCAGUAGCCUGGCUGAAGGGAUGUACGGCUACAAUUGGACGGAGACACGGCCCAGACCCCUACGGGAGGCAGCAGUGGGGAAUCUUCCGCAAUGGACGAAAGUCUGACGGAGCAACGCCGCGUGAGUGAUGACGGCCUUCGGGUUGUAAAGCUCUGUUAAUCGGGACGCGGUACCGGAAUAGAAAGCAACGGCUAACUACGUGCCAGCAGCCGCGGUAAUAC